AAGACGGGACGAAUCCUUUCACCAAGGGCUUGACGGAGCACAGUCUCUGUCUGGACACAGACACCUUCCACACAAUCAACCACAACAAGCGCACCGUCAGUAAUACGAAGAGCAGCAGUCACUUCAGAUGAGAAGUCAACGUGCCCAGGUGAAUCGAUGAGGUUGAUGAGGUACUCGUUCCCAUUUCUCUCUCCCUUGAAGUUCCUCAAGGAGUCAUCAGUCAUCUCGUAGUAAAGUGAAAUACCAGUGGACUUGAUGGUGAUACCACGCUCAGCCUCAUCUGCACGUGUAUCUGUCAUUCUGACAUCACCUGCUACUUCCUGAGCAAUGAUACCAGCAGCCGCCACCAGAGAAUCAGUAAGGGUAGAUUUUCCUGUCAGGUUAAAUAUAUUGCAGGAUAAGAAACUCAAAAUCAUCUGAUAAGUUAAACCAUAGAUGGUAGGUACCCUAUUACCAACGAAUAGAAGAAAAACAAUAAAACAAUAUUAAGCAAACAGUAGCACCACAAAAAUAUAUAGGGUGAAUUCAGUGCCCAGAUAUAUUCCAGAUGAUCACUAGACACAAGGGAUCAUAAUUUAAAUUACCUUACCUUUACAACAAAGAAUUUAGACAACUAUUGUAAUAAUAUUUGUACAGUUGCUUACCAUGGUCCACAUGAGCAAUAACAGACAUAUUACGAAUGUUAUGCUUGAAGUCCAUAAUCCUUCGAAGCUCCUCAGCUGUGAACUUCACCAUCUUGAAUGUUUGUUGUAGCAACUAAGAAUUACUUUAUUUUCCUGCCAUUUGAAACCGCAACAAAUGUUAAACAUCAAUCAAAACACAGUUUAUUCUCCCAGAGUCAAAAUCCAUAUGACAAAGCCACCAACUAAAAAAAAGCUAAUUCAAGAGAUCCAUACAAAACACACCAUAUAACUCUGAAGCUAACAAAACAAUUCCUCCUACUUAAUUGAAUAUACGCACACCAUAAUUUCAAGUCAAGACUCACAAAUAAACACAAAAUCACUGAUCAAAAGAUUGUAAUUAAGCUUCUAGAACCGAACAGCAGAAACAGAAGGUUUGAUGUUUCAAAAUUGAGACAGAUUACAACCAGUAGUCUACCACUAUAGCGCACAUCUCUGUAUUAUGAACAUCUUAAUUUAAGACGGACAUAUACAGACACGGACACACACAUAUAUAAGCAGAUAUAUUGUUUCUACAAGGAUCAUCAGAAAUAAAACAGUCUAAACAGAUGAAUAGCAAGCAGCUUCCGGAAUAUUAACAUGAACUAAUAAAAGCCCUCUUAACAUUCUCAAACGCAACAUCAAAUAACAUAUAUCUAUUAAAAAAGAGCAGAUCUCAAAGGCAACAUCAAAUAACAUAUAUCUAUUAAAAAGAGCAGAUCUGGACUAGAUCUAGAUAAAGUUCCUUCACAUUUCAUAAAAAUAUUCAUUUCAAACGAAAUUUUACCCCGAAAAAAUCAAAUCACAGCAUAGAUCAAAUGGUAGAAACUGAGAAUCUAUGAGUGCAGCGAGACGAGAAAGAGGAAAUGGUCACUUACUGAGAGGUAGGCGGCGAGUAUUGUGAGACCUUACAAUUCUGCCGCUAUGAUAAGCUGAGGUUAAGCAUUGUGCGAAGGUAUAUACCUCUCUUCAUGGGCCGCAGCCAGCCUAAAAUGGGCCAUACUACUAUCUUAUCUACAAUGGGCCUUUAGUGGGUUCAUUCAUAUAAACAAAAGAGAAAAAAAUCAGAGGAGAUACGUCUUCUUAACACUUCAUUGUCAUCCUCCACUUACUUUUUCAUUAUAUGACUACAAUAUUAUGUAUUCUAUAUAUAUAUAAUUAUAAUUGUUUGAGUGGGUAGUAUAAUUAUUUCUCCACUUGCUUUUAUGCUAUCCCCCACUUAUUUGGGAAUAUUGAAUUGAGGGGAUGAAAAAAAUUUAAAAUAAAAUUGCAGUGAUUUAAGUUAUUUUUAGUUAAGUGUAGGUGAUAAUUAAGGUGUUUUAUACGUGUAGUAGUUGCUCUUAUGUUUGCAUUAGCUAAAAAAAAAUUGGAAAGAUAUAAAGACCAAAAGGAAAAGUGAGGAGACCGUAAUCUCCUUCCACCAUCACAUACAAACGUUGAUUGAGUCCAUCGGAGUGCUGGAUUCAAAGCAGUGGCAUCAACAAGGAAUUCAGGUAAUCUUUUUUUUAUGCUAAGUAGAUUUUGUAUUAUUAUUUCACCUAAGAAAAUUCUUGUUUUUGCUCAUUAUUGACGGAGAUCGAGAGGCUGAGAGAGAAAUCAAAAUUUGUGUUUACAGGAGCGAAAAAAUUGUGUUGGAUUGAGUUUUGGAUGACUUUCAUCAAGUCUCACAAACACUAUGAAAUUCAAUCAAAAGAAGACUUCUUCAACUCUAUUAUAUCAGACAUCUUCUUUAAGUACUCAUAAAAACAUAAUUUUCUUCUUCUUUUUAAAUAAUAAAUGGUGUAAAUUAAACUGUUUUUUGUGUAAUUUCUUUUUCGAACUGAUUGGGCUCACAGGUAGCUAAUACCACUACUAAAGAAAAGAAAAAAUAAUCAUAUCCAAAUUCAAUUUUAGUCAUCUGCUUCGAGCAAACUUCUUAAUUAUUGAACCUCUUUUAUAUAUAUACUUAUAAGAUAGUUUUUAUAGUGUACUAAGAAAAAAAAAUACAUUAUAAUGUUAUUGAAGCAUUCUGGAGUUCCUGUUUUUAAGAUUUUGUUAUCCAAAUAUUGAAAUUUGAUUCUAGUCCGUGAUUAUUAUAGUUUUUUCGUCAUUUGGGAUCUCUGGUAUAAAAUUAGUAUAUGUCAAACUUUGAGUAACUACAAAAUUGAAAAUUUGGUUAGAAAAAAGUCCGCUAAAAUGUGAUGAGUUGGUAAUUUAUCAAUAUCAUACUCUUAUUCGUCAAUUAGCAUUAUGUUUUAUAGGUAAUGAAGAAAAUUUUAGGUCAUUAUUCUCUCCUGGGCAAAAGUUUCUUGCAAAAUGAAGGAUGAAUGAUUUGGCGCAAAACAUUAUUAAAAUACAUUGGUGAGGAGUUAACGUCCAAAAAUUUGCAUAGGUGUUCCAAUGGCUCAAUAGACUAGAAGAUGAGAUGUUGUCUAGAAACAUCAGUAUCUUCGAUGAUCAAUCGAUACAAAUGCAGGCAUCAUUGGAAUAGAAAAAGAUUAAGCGGCAUAUCAAUUAGAACUGGAUGUUUCCGCAUCGAUGGAACACUGAUGCAAUGCAAGCGAAAUACGAAAGUUUAAGGGCAAAAAAAAAAGUCUUACUUUGGAAGGUUUUAAUCAAGAAAUUGAGAUUUGUAUAAUUGUGUAUUAUAAUUUCUACCCAAUUGUGUAUUAUUCAUUAUUGCAAAGUAUAAGUUGGGGUUGUUUCCAUUUCUCUCGACGGGGGAAGUCACUAUUAAUUGGGUUGAGGAAUUAUCCCAAAGAUCAAUCAGUUCACACAUUGAGCUUACAACUACUUUUCUUAAAUAAUUAUUCCACCUUACGCAUAUUGCACUUGAGGGAUGAGAUUAACAAUUUUCAUCAUCUAUCGACAGAAGCAAUUCAUAAAGUGUGGUUGAGAUUCAAGAAAAAGGUCUUGUUAAGUCUAAAUUAUGGGCUAUCAAAUAAAGUUUUAAUACAAAAUAUUUUGCCGUUCUUUGGAUGAGGUCAAACAACUUAGAUAUAGAUUUUAUAUGGACCUAACUUAUGCCUUAGUCACCGUCCUCAUUGGUCAAAUGAUCAAGAGAAAUAAGACAUGGAAUACUAGAGACACUGAACAACCUCUGGGUGUAGCUGCCAAGUACGACGAAUGAGAUGAGAAGAAAAGAGAAAGAAAGAGAAGAACAAAUGACAAAGUUGAUGACAAGUAGAGCUCUUGGACAAGCAUAUGUUGCGCACCGAAAUAAAGUGUUAAUGUCAUUGGGUUACACAUUGUUAUCUAAUGAAGAAGAUAUUAUUUAUGCUUCAUAUGAUGAAGAGGUAAGAUUGAUGUGUCGCAAAAUCUUGGCACAUUUGAUGCUUGAAAACUAUGAAUUAAUACUAUAAUUGAAUGUAUUUUUGUAUACUUUGAUGUGUUUGUUGAAUGUGUAGACAGAUUCUUGUUUGUGUAGAAAAAUGGAAAAAGAAGUAGAAAAUCAUAAGGAUCAAGUAAAGAUCAUGACUAUCCUCACGAACCGUGAUUCUCAUAAUAUUUUGUAGUUAUGCUUGUAAAGUUGAACCAGUGUUUGGGCCUUGGGAAGAUGGAGUGCAUGAGUAACUAAGUAAAAACCACAGAAGGCUCCACAGGGUCGUGGUCACUAUAAUGGCUCGUGGUGGUGAUCGUGAAGAUGAUCCAGUACUUAGACCUCGAGAAGCUUGAAUUGGAAGUGACCACGUGAAGAUCACAGGCACCUUUACGAACCGUGGUCAGUGCUUCGAUCUGUGAUGUUGUUUGUAGUACCCUUUCCAGUGUGAUGUCAAUGAAGACCCAACUUUGAAAAAUUCCAAAUAAAGACCACAGACACCUAGAUGCAUCGUGGUCAUGUUGUCUGUGAUGCAUGUUCCAGUGGCCAAGUAUUGAGGACCCAAUUCUGGGGAGUUCCAAGGGAAGACCAUAGAGGGCAUCACAGAUUGUGAAGCCCUUAACGGGUCGUAGAGUUGUCCGUGAAGCCCUUAACGGGUCGACAUGAGUCACCCAUGACACCUAUUUUGGAUGUGGAGUUGUUUGAUAUGUGGGGAUCGACUUCAUGGGACUAUUUGUAAGCUCCUACGGGCAAAAGUACAUAUUAGUUGUAGUGGACUAUGUGCCCAAAUGGGUUGGGUAGUUGUUUUGCCUGAGAAUGAUGGAAAGAGAUUUAUCGAUUUUCUUGAAGAAGAAUAUCUUCUCAAGGUUGUCAUACCCAGAGCUAUCAUCAGUGAUGGUGGUUCUCAUUUCUUCAAUAAGGUGUUCGGUUUUCUUCAAGCUACAUAUGGAGUUAAAUAGAAUAAGGUAGCAACAAUUUAUCACCCACAUACCAGUGGCCAAGUGGAGGUCUCCAACAGAGAAAUUAAAGUAAUUCUGGCUAAAACAAUGAAUGUCAAUAUGACAGAUUAGGCAUGGAAGUUAGAUGAUGCUCUAUGGGCAUAUCAUACAACUUUCAAGACGUCUAUUGGUAUGUCUCCAUAUCAAUUAGUGUUUGUAAAGAUAUAUCAUUUUCUGGUUGAGCUUGAUCAUAAAGCAUUAUGGGCUUUGAAGAUGUUGAACCGUAGUUGGAGUGAAAUCAUGAACCUGAGAUUAAAUCAGAUCAAUGAGAUAGAUGAGUUCUAUCUGAGAGUCUAUGAGAGGUUUGCACUGUAUAAGGAGAGGAUGAAGUUAUAUCAUGACAAACAUAUUGAGAAAAAAGAUUCAAUCCUAGUGAUUUGGUAAUUCUUUUUUAACUUCAAGCUUCAUCUGUUUUCGGGUAAAUUGAGAUCCAAAUAGUUGGACCUUUUAAAGCUACUCAAGUGUUUCAGAUGGGUGCUAUUAAUCUUGAAAAUGACAAGCGCGAGAAGUUCAGAGCCAAUGGUCAGUAAAUCAAGGCAUAUUUGGGUGUUCUAGAGGAUGUGAAAAUCGUGGAGGAAUGUAAACUUGAUGAAAUCUGAGUAAUCAAGUAACCCGCAUCACACUGCGACUUUAAAUUAUGCAACCCAAGAUGUAAUUGUAUUAGGUAUUUUCCUUUUUCCUUAUUUUUCUUUAGUUUUAUAGAGUCAUUAUGUGUUGAUGUGUGCUGGAGAGAAUGUCUUCAAAAUUGCAAGAAUAGGGUGUAAACUACUCUUCACAGGAAGCUUCAAAGACUAUGGUGCCCGUCACGGGCACUUUCACGUUCUUCCGUCAAUCUUAGCACCAACCUAAAGGAUCAACUAGAAUUUACAAGAAAAAGGUUGACGAAAAGGUUCACGGUCCGUCAUGAUUUGUAUGGCCUCUCGUGAACCACAUGUAAGUAUUUUGUCCCAAGUCAUGUUCACGAACCAUUUCACAGACCGUGAUGCUCUUCAUGGGAAGUUUCACAGUCCGUCAUCUGUUAUCCAGCAGCACCAGACCCAACCGGACCCACGAUGAACCUAAACUUACAGGAAACAUAUAUUAGAUUCCUAGGCGCCAAAUGUUGGCUUCUUACCCUUAUUUUCUCUUCAUUCUUUAUCUUAUAACAGUUACUAGGUAUAACCAUUUCCUAUCAUAAAAACAAUCUUAGUUCCUCAAAGAAUUCAAACCCUAAACUAAAGUUGGUCAAGAAUUUCAAGUCAGGUUCAUCUUUACCUUUUUGAGGGAAAUUUUCUUUUAAGUCCAAGUAAGUUUUUUCUACCUUGUUAUAAGUUUGAUCUUAUAUAAAAAAAACAGUUACAUUCACUUCGAUUUAGUCGAGUUUAUCAUGUGUAUAUGAUGAACUAUCUUGGUUGAUAUUGAAUUAUUGUGGGUUGCAAUAAAUUAAGUGUUCUUGUAUCUGGGUAUGAUUACAGUAGGUAGUAAUUGUGUGCUCACUGUUUUUGAUUAAAUUGGUUAUGAUUUUUUUUAGGAGGGUUAGUUGAAUUUCUGGAUAAAAGUGUUGAGUGGUGGAUAUGUGUUGAUUGUGAUCUUGUGGAAAAAUAAGGGUUUGACACUAUAAAUAUUUCUUAUAGACAAUGUGAGGAAGACGGUUACUAAAGAAAUGGGUAAAUGUAUGAUCACGAUAGGUUUAACGAACCAUGGAAGCUACCAUGAGUCGUGAAACCAAUCGUGGACGACACUUGAAUUCAUUCCACCUAUUAGAAAAGUUCAUAACCAGUAUCACAUAUUGUGGUUCACUCCAUGGGCUGUGUAAUCAUCCGUGAACAUUACUUAGUCAACCCUAUGUUUUAUUUUUUUUAUAUUCUUAUUUUGUUCAUCUUUUGAUUUCGUGGACCUUUCCAGUGAUAGAUUGGGUGACGACAUUCUUAAGGCAAGCCGUCACGAUGUAAUUACAUAGGGGAGAUCUGAGUAUUUGAUAUUAUGUCAUUUUAUUGACUUGCGUAACUAAUUAUUUUUGUAAUUCUCAGGUACUAUAGCUCCCCAAAGAAAGAACGCAGCCAAACCUACCCCCUCCUCUCAAUGCUUCUCAAUCAUAGGAUCGUGAUAACUCCAAUUCUAGUAGUUUUGAGGUGCAAAUAAAUACCACCAUUGAUGAUCACUCACCUUGGUCUACUAGAGCACAGACAAAGAGGAAAAUUCUCCAGGACACUCUUCCCUAGUCUGAAGAGGGUAGUAGUCAUUUUGUUAGCAGUGAAGAAUCAGGUAGUGAAUAUAAUGUGGGCUCAGGUAGACAGUCCACUAAUAAUUUUUGGGGCAAUGCUAAGUCUGAAAGUGGCUCUCAGGAAGAUCCAAACACCUCUCCACCUGCGGUAAAUACAAAAGCUGAAAUUAGAGUAUAAGAUGAGACAGAUGAUAUACAUGAGGACAUAGAGAUCACCAUUGAUGAUAUCAUGGUAAUAUAUGUGAACAUUCACGAACCUGAUCCCGCAGCAAGACAAUAGUUGAUUGAUUGUUACCGUUCCAUGUGGAAUGUGAAUCAGUCUAAAGAAUUUUCCAACAAUGCUAUCGUGGCCAAUAAUGGCAGCAAGAAAGCUGAUAUCAAGGCAUUCCCCGAGAUUUAUCGGACAUUAUAGUUCCAUCAGUUCGAUUGGAUGAACAAUGCAUCAAGAGGAUACUCUAACCACCUAGACAAAGAGCUUUAUUCAUCUUAUACAACUACACUAAUGAAGUUUGUUGCCAUUUUUUGAGGUCCACUCAACUCAAUUAUAGUUCGGGGAAAAUGGAUAGAUAUCUCUAAGGCUAGUAUUAACAGGAUGUUUCAUGUCCCGAAAUACUCUUUACUAGAUUCAGUUGGUAUUUUGAGGGAAAACAUAAUUACAAAAGAUUCACUAUAUUUUCCAACCAAGGUUUGGUGGAUUGUUAUCCAUGUGCAAUUGAGACCGACAACUAAUGAUAACACAUUGCCUCCUUCACUGACUUCUUUGGUAGCAUGCCUCAUGGAUGGUUACCCGGUAAAUGUGGGGCUCAUCAUAGCGUCCAAGUAGUGAGACAUGGCACUAAAUGAGAGGCUGAAUUUUCAUUUCCCAGUCUGAUAAGAAUAUUAUGUCGACAAGCAAACAUUCCCCCAAACAAGAUGGUUGACAGAUGGGGUGAAGCAUUCAGACUAACCCAGGUUUCUAAAAUCAAGGAUUUCGCUAACCAUCUUUUUGGUGCAAGUCUGGAGAUGUGGGUAUUUUGGUCACCGUUCCUCUUGUCCCAAUUGAUAUUCCACAUGAAACAGAGGGCCAGAGUAGGGGGAGUCAUCCCAAACAUCUACAGAGGCACCACCACUAUCGACUUUCGCCUCAUAUGCUCCGGGUACCUAUGUCACUAUUCCCAUGAUUUUUCUUGAGAAAUUGGUCGUAGAUCAGCACCAAACUAGGACCUUGGUAGACCAGAUUGUGAAUUAGAUGGUUUGGAGAACUUUGUUCAAGAUCAUUUCCAGGCCACAGAUGCUAAAGAGUUCAAAGAACAAAUAGCCUAGAUGCGAACUCAGGUUUCUUAACUGGAUGAAAAUCCAGUACAUGUACCCACUCCGGUCAUGCUAGAUUCUUUGAUGAAAUUGCUAAAUUAGGCACCCUCCACUUAAUUAUUUGAUGAUUUAUGGGGUAACUUACCUAAGCGUGAGUCAGACAAGAAAGAAAAAACCUAGAGAAUAUGAUGAUGAGCUAUCAGCUGACAUGUCUAGAGAAGAAAGAAAGCAACACAAGAAAGCAUGCAGGGCAUCAAAGAAGGGAGCUCGUGAAAAAAGCACUUGAACAACAACAAAGAGAUGCAAUGUUAGUUGGGGAUUCUGGUAGCAGAGCACCUAUCUCGGUGAGCUGAAGCCAACCUGAUCAUGUGCCGAAUUCUGAGAGUGCACCCCUUGAUAUGGGUGUCAAUGCUGAUUUGAGACCGACGCCUAGAGCGUCGUAGGUAUGACUCCUCUUCAUAGCCUUAUUUUGUUUUGUUUUUCUUUAUUUGACUUUGAGGGCAAAGUCCUUUUUUGGGAGGGGUGAGUAACCUGCCAUUUUAAGGUGUUAGAAUGAAUGGAGGUUGACUCUCUGUUAAUUGUGAAAAAUAGUUUUGUGUUUGUGCUGGUGAGCUGAGGUAUGCAACAACUGGUUUCUGUGUAAUAUUUACCUUGAUCUGAGAUUUGAACGUUAGGAUCUUUAUUGACAUCUAGAUACUUACUUGUUGAACACUGCCAGUUUGAUAAAUAAAUAGGUGAACCAAGAAGCUGGAGAAUGUAAUCCUGUGUCAUGUGUGUUUGUGAAUGUUGUUUGAAGUCUAACACUAGGAGCAGAAACUAGAACUUGCCCGAAUUGUCUAGCUUAAAUCUGAGAAUAACCUGAUAAGAAAGGAUCAGUAGAUCAUUUUUGUUAAGCCAUUAAAAAUCCCAAAAAAAAUAAAAUAAAACAACCAAAUUAAAGCUUAUAACUUGAAACUGAUUUGAGACUAAAAGUGAGAUUUUGUUCUUACCCAAUAAAUAUCAUAUCCUUUGGUUUUCGAAGAUACGAUGUUACAACUCAGGUCAAAAUUCUAAGUUGAGGGUGAUUGCAAUCCGAGCAGAAAAAAGAAGUGAAAAAAAGGUUCAACCAUUGAGUUGAGUGCAUACAAAAAAAAGCCAUAUAUAUAAAAAAAUUUAAAUAAAAGAAAACAAGAAGAAAAAAAUAGUUGGUAGAUAUGCUCAAAUGAAGUAAAAGAGGGAAUUGCUCAGAAAGGAGUUGUGUGCAAAUGAAACUUUGAAGAACCAAAGAACCAGUCAAUCACAAAUCCAAAUAUCAUUACCUAGUCGGAGACUAUGUUACAAACCGAUAAAGUCCAACAAUGAUCCUAUUCCGCAUGAUUGAAAUAUAGAGUACAGAAAGCAAGUGCAACCCUAGGGUUGUUUGUUGUUAGUGUUAGAAUUUCUUCGAGAGUGUGAGCGUAGUACUUAGUCCCAAUUAUCAUGAGUGAAGGAUUUCUUUGGUGUGAGGACACAAUGAUUGCAUUCGAGAGUAGAUUGUGUUAGCUGAUAAUUCAGUCAUAAGCAUGAUUAACCGUAAGUAAUGAGAAAUCGUAGAUUGAUCCUUGCAUGUUAGAUUCAUGGUUUUGGAUACAAUUUGUGUUUGAGAUGGCUAUUGUGUAGUUUCAAAGUGUUUGAAUAAUUUGAGGAUUUGAAUGUGUUGUUAUCUUAUCAUUUGAGGACAAGUAAUGGUUUUAAGUUGAGGGUGUUGAUGUGCCGCGAAAUCUUGACACAUUUGAUGCUUGAAAACUAAUACUAGAAUUGAGUGUAUUUUUUUAUACUUUGAUGUGUUUGUUGAAUGUGUAGACAGAUUCUUACUUGUGUGAAAAAAUGAAAAAAGAAGCAAAAAAUGAUGGGAAUCAAGUAAAGAUCACGGCCAACCUCAGGAACUGUGAUUCUCAUAACGCUCUGUGGUUGUGCUCAUGAAGUUGAACCAAUAUUGGGCCUUGGGAAGAUGGAGUGCACGAGCAACUAAGUGAAAACCACAGAAGGCUCCACGGAUCGUGGUAAUUAUAACAGCCUGUGGUGGUGAUCAUGAAGAUGAUCCAGUACUUAAACCUUGAGAAACAUAAAUGGAAAGUUACCAAGUGAAGAUCUCGGGCACAUUUACGAACCGUGGUAAGUGCUAUGAUAUGUGGUGUUGUCUGUAGUACCCUUUCCAGUGUGAUGGCAUUGAAGACCCGACUUUGGAAAAUUCCAAGUAAAGAGCCCAGAUGGACCGUGGUCAUGUUGUCCGUGAUGCAUGUUCUAGUGAUCAAGUAUUGAAGACCCAAUUUUGGGGAGUUCCAAGGGAAGACCAUGGAGGGCUUCACAAAUCGUGAAGCCCUUGACGGGUCGUAGAGUUGUCCAUGUUGCCUGCAUUUCAUUCCUACUCUUUCUAAAAUACUUUAUUUGAAUUAAUUAGGUCAUUUUUAUUUUUUUGUCUCUUCUUACCAUGAACGAAAAAUACUUUAUUUGAAUUAAUUAGGUCAUUUUUAUUUUUUUGUCUCUUCUUACCUUGAACAAAAAAUACAUUUCCAGUAUUCGAAGUUUUGGAUUUUUGAUUUGAAUAUUGAAUUAAGUUUGAAGUUUGAUUUUCUAGCUCUUGAAUUAUCAAAGUGGUUGUUGAUUUGUUUUUUCUCGUAAGUACUUUCUAACAUGUUUUCAAUCUAUAUUUUUGAACAUUUACUUGAAAUAGUAAGUAGCUAAACACCAAAACUGGGGUUGUGGGAUCCAUGACGUAAUUCUAAUUAUGAUUUGGUAAAAUGAGUGAAAAGCAAUGUGUAAUUACAAACUAUAGUUUAGCUUUCGUUAUUUAUGUAUUUAGAUGAGUGCACGCAUUAGAGUGAGCCAGUAUCUAUCAUUUGUUCGAGAGAAAAAUGAUAGUUACCAAAAAAACUGAUUUAACCAAACAAAUUGGAGUUAAAGUUCGAGAAAAAAUGAAGAGAAUUUUAACACCAUUGUAAGCGAGGGUAAAAUUAGUAACAUUCCAGGGCCAAGAGGACUUGAGUAAGAAUUAUCUGAUUAGACAGAGAAGUGUCAGAUAAAGUUAACUCGUGUAGAUUUUGUAAAGAUGAAUUGCCUGAAACUCAAUUACGCAAGAACACUCUAGCAACGUUAUGGGGAACACAAUUCUAGUUUCUUUUAAUUAGUGAAUCAACUUUAUACCUUAAGACUCUAUUAACUGUUUAAUCUGUAUUUCUAAUGCAAAUCUUAAUUAUUAUAACAUUAAAACUAAAUCCAAGUUACUUUCCGUCAUUGUUUCUUAAGGAGAUAAUAACGACAUUCUAGUAAACACGACAAUGAAACCAUUUUUAUAAAGAAAUUCUCUGUGGGAUCGACCUCAACCCACGUUGAAUUUUGUAAAUUGACUUCGACUGUUUAUAUCUCUUAAUUGAGGUGUAAGUUUGGACGUAUCAAAGAUAUAUGACGAGUUAAUAAAUGUGUUCUCAAUCGAAGUACCAAGGCACUAAUCAAGGUCAUUGGCAUCCUUUGCAAAAGAAUCAAGAUUGGAGAGAUCAUGAUGGUCAAUGAAGAGAUCGAGAGUGACGUGAGAGGUAUCAUGCAAGAAUGAAGGAGAGGUACGAUCAUCAAAGCUCAAAUAUGUAAUUACCUUCACAUAACACUAAAGCCCCAGCUAGCCAAUCAAGUAUGAGUGAUCCGGCAUGCUCUGAGGGUUGAGGAUAUGCUAAAUUGUGUGCUAAAGUGGGCAGAGUCAAUGGAUAUGGGGUUAUGGAACUCAAAAACGAUGUCUUAAAUUUAAUCUUUCUCAGAUUUUUACUCUUUGAUUCAAUGAUUAAUAUGAUUUUAUUUUUUGUUGGUAGAAUUAAUUUUUUUUCACUAACUUUCUUGUAUAAUUUAUCAAAUAUGCCCAAAAAGAGGAAUUUUAAAAAAUAAUUACAUAUAGCCGAAAAAAUUAAUUUAAAUUUGUUCUCUUUUUCCAUUCACUUUUUAGUUAUUUCACACAUUUUUGCACUAAAAAUGAAAAGGAACAAAAAGGGAAGAGACUAAUAAUCAAAGAGGUCAAAAAUAAUCAUGUCUGAAAAAAUUAUAUAUACCCCUAUAUAAAAAAUAAAAAGAAAUCACUUUCAUUAGAUUAAAGGAGGAUGCGGGAUGGAAAAAUUAUAUGAAUUGAUACAUUUUUAUAAAUAAUUACUGAUUUAGGCGAUACUUUUUAUUUAUUAUCAUUUAUAGCAAUAUUAUGUUAAAUAUGUAAAUAUGUAUUAAAGUGAAUUAUGUAUACAAUACAUAUGAAUUACAAUUGCUUUUUGAAAUAUAUUAUGUUUGUUUGGUAAAAAUUUGACACAUUGUAUUAAAAUGUGUGAUGAAUGUAUUAUUAUCAUUAAAACUUGUAUUAUAUGUGAGUAAUAAAUUGUUCUUUGUAAUAUGUAUUAAACUUAUAUUAUAAAUGAAUAAAAGUGAUCAAGUGAGAAAAAAUAUUAUUACUAUACAUGUUAAAUAUUUUUUUAUUAUAGUAUAUUUAUUUAAGUUUCCUUUUAAAAAAUAUAUAUGAACCAUUUUUUAGUAGAUAUACGUGAGUUAUUUUUAUAACAGCAAGAUGUUCAUAUUUUUCAAUUAAAAAGAAAAAUCUAAUGAUUUCCAGAUAAAGACCGGAAAAUUUUACCAAAGGAAAAACAUCAAACAAACAACGCAAAAUAUAUACACUCAUUGUUGUGCAUCCUAGAAGGAAAAGAAUGGAAUGCUUGGUUUGGAAUCUGUAUUAGUAUAAGAUAAAUUACAUAAUUAAGCCAAAAUACUAGAUUUUAAAACUUAAAAAGGGAUGAGAAAGCUCAACGUAUAUCAUGAUUGAAAGAGCACACCGGAUUUAAUUUGCUGCAAUUACGAAAAUUAAACCGCAAAAAGAAUAAGUGACUGUCCUGAAACACUUGCAUAAUUAAUCUAAUUCAACAGAGAAAUUAUUUAAUUAUAUUUGAAAUUGCACUUUGUUUAGAAACUAACACAGCAAAAUUAUCUAAUGUUUGAAGUAAAAGGCAACUUCAAAUAAAAUACGACAGAAAUAGUUUUGUCCAUAGAAAAGAUAGAGGUAAUAAAUUCUGCAACAACAAACUUACGAGCUAGUAUCCUAAUCAACACAAGAUGAUCAAAGUAAUUAUCCAAACAGAUAGAUGAUAAAUGCAAAACAAAACUUUCGCGGAAUCAAUUGAGCAGGUUAAAUAUCAUCUGCUGCCAUCUCAAACAUAUGCCUUACAGCUUGUCCUCAAACUCGGAUAGAGGGGUCAUCUGAUCCUUCAAACCCUUCCUCUUGCGGAUAUCAAGGACGAGUUGAUGAGCUUGUGAGCCAGCUUCCAAUGGGUCAGAGGACAUCAUUUCCCAAUGAUCAAACACACACUGUGGGAAGGCUUGACCUGAAGUAGCAGCUCUCAAGGUACCUGAAAAUCCAAAAGACUCAACAACAGGAAGGUAAGCCUUGAUGUUGUAAAGAGGAGUUCCUGGCCUCUGCAUCUCCUCAAACACGUGUCCACGCUUCUGAUUCAGAACACUAUAGAUACCACCAAGGGCUUGCUCCGGAGCCUGAAUUUCCACAAGGUAAACGGGCUCCAACAGGCGGGGUUUAGCAGUAAGCUGAGAAGCAUAGAUAACCCUCCUAGCAGUGGGAAUAACUUGGCCACCACCCCUGUGAAUAGCAUCAGAAUGAAGAACAACAUCACAGACUUCAAAGCAAAUACCUCUCAUGUUCUCUUCAGCCAAUGCACCUUCCUUCGAAGCCCACUGGAAACCAGCAACAACAGAAUCCUUAAUUUCAUUCAGGUACUGAACUCCCUUACACAUAUCCACCACCAUGUUGGGACCAGUUGUCUCAGGACCAAAGCACCAAAUCUUCUUUGCAAGAUCUUUGUCCCAGCCAAACUCCUCAGCCAAGAUCUUGGAACGAACCUUAGGGUCAUCCCUAGGGCCAAUGCGUCCCUCGUCAAUAGCCUCAGCAAGCCCUUCCUCCAUUGGUCUAGCCUCCAUGUACAAACGGUUAUGCUUGUUAGGGGACUUGCUCAUCACAGUUCGAGUAGACUUCUCGAGGACCGUCUCACGGAAGGACACAACGGGAUCAGAUUUUAUAAUUUCAGCACCGCCCAUAAAGUCAUCCUGCAAAUCCUUCAGACAGAUCUCAAGGUGGAGUUCUCCAGCACCAGCAAUAAUAUGCUCUCCAGACUCUUCAAUAGAACAAACAACCAUAGGAUCAGACUUAGCCAGACGUUUCAACCCUUCAACAAGCUUGGGAAGGUCAGAUGCGACCUUGCACUGAACAGCUACACGCACAACUGGUGAGACAGAAAACUUCAUUGCUCUGAUAGGGUGAGCAUCGACUUCCUUUUCAUUGGUCAAUGUUGCAUUCUUGGUAAUAAACUGAUCCAAACCAACCAUGGCAACAGUGUUACCACAGGGAACAUCCUCAACAGUUUCUUGCCUCUUACCCAUCCAAAUAACAGUUCGCUGGAUAUUCUUGACAUAUAAAUCCUUCUUUUCACCAGGAACAUAGUUAGGACCCAUGAUUCUAACCUUCAUACCAGUAGAAACCUUCCCAGCAAAUACACGACCAAAAGCAAAGAAUCUACCCUUGUCAGAUGCUGGAAUCAUCUUUGAUACAUAAAGCAUAAGCGGCCCUUCUGGGUCACAGUUCCUGAUAGCAUUAGCAUAAGCAUCAUCAAGGGGUCCCUCAUACAAGUUCUCCACACGGUAUUUUUGAGCUGUGGACGGUGAUGGGAGAUGAUAUAUCAUCAUUUCAAGAAGAGCAGUACUUGCGGGAAGCCAGGUCUGCAUCACACGCUUCAUCAGUGCCUUGCCCAUCAAAUCUUUUUCAUCAGAUUUCAUGGUUACACCAAGCUUCUGCAACAUAGGCCAGAGCUUAUCUUUCUGAUCGUUCAUGCAAGUGUUGAUAAUCUGCUUAAUUGGCUCAUAGCAGAAUUGAACAAACCCACGCUUGCACGAAGCUGUCCCGGUGUUUUUUGUGGUCCACUUUUUGGUGGCAGGGUCAAAAAAGUUCUCACCCCACAGCCUCUCCAUCAUCUUAGACUCAUCAACACCAAAUUUGGAAGCAUACAUCUUGGCAAAAUUGGUGAGAGUGAAAGCCCACCCAUGCAACCCAGCUGAGAAAGCAACGGUACCUUUCUCAGGAUAAACCUGGACAUCACCAAGAAGGGGAUCCUCAUAUGUAGCCAUGAUAACAUUAGCAUUCUCAAUAACUCUUUGGAAUGUCUGAUAGGCCUCCUCUCCAUCAACCUGAAGCUCGAGGAAACACCUGUCCAUCUUGUUAACUGUCAAGACAGGACGAAUCCUUUCACCAAGGGCCUGACGGAGCACAGUCUCUGUCUGGACACAGACACCUUCCACACAAUCAACCACCACAAGUGCACCAUCAGUAAUACGAAGAGCAGCAGUCACUUCAGAUGAGAAGUCAACGUGCCCAGGUGAAUCGAUGAGGUUGAUGAGGUACUCGUUCCCAUUUCUCUCUCCCUUGAAGUUCCUCAAGGAGUCAUCAGUCAUCUCGUAGUAAAGUGAAAUACCAGUGGACUUGAUGGUGAUACCACGCUCAGCCUCAUCUGCACGUGUAUCUGUCAUUCUGACAUCACCUGCAACUUCCUGAGCAAUGAUACCAGCAGCCG
rnacentral:lncRNA from 1 species